rnacentral:piRNA from 1 species
UGCCAGGAUCACAGCAGCUGCAUGGGUACC